AUAAUGGUGCUGUUAUCUGGAGUUGUAGCCUUUCUGGUGAACCUGUCCAUCUAUUGGAUUAUUGGUAACACCUCAGCAGUUACAUAUAAUGUUCUUGGACAGUUAAAGUUCUGUAUGACUUUGAUUGGCGGAUAUGUCAUUUUUCAUGAUCCAAUUCAGAGUGUGCAGUUUUUGGGAAUAUUGAUGACAUUUAUUGGUGUUUAUCUUUACACCCACAUUAAGCUUAAAGAACAACAACAGUCAAAGGGACUACCAUUGCCAAACACACUCCCUGUGUCAGAUAGACCCAGUAGUAAAUAAGUGUGGAGUGUAAUGAGAUGAUUUAACCCUAACAUUAUCAGCUUUGGCUAAUAGCAACAUCAGAUGCGAUACUUUUAAUCAGGGACUACAGACAUUUAUCCAGUUCUCAUACUAUACUGGUCAAUUUGUUUUUGUUUGCUUUGAUGUUUACCAAAUGAGAGACAAAAAUACAGUG